rnacentral:rRNA from 1 species
UGGGGAAAUAUUGCACAAUGGGGGAAACCCUGAUGCAGCGACGCCGCGUGAGCGAAGAAGUAUUUCGGUAUGUAAAGCUCUAUCAGCAGGGAAGAAAACGACGGUACCUGACUAAGAAGCCCCGGCUAACUACGUGCC